GUUAAAAUACAGGUUCUCGUAUGAUCACCGAAGUUAAGCAACGUUGAGCCUGGUCAGUAUCUAGGUGGGUGACUUCUUGUGAUUAAUAGGUGGUGUAUG